AGCAUGUGGUUUAAUUCGAAGCAACGCGAAGAACCUUACCAGGUCUUGACAUCCCGAUGCUAUUUCUAGAGAUAGAAAGUUACUUCGGUACAUCGGUGACAGGUGGUGCAUGGUUGUCGUCAGCUCGUGUCGUGAGAUGUUGGGUUAAGUCCCGCAACGAGCGCAACCCCUAUUGUUAGUUGCCAUCAUUCAGUUGGGCACUCUAGCGAGACUGCCGGUAAUAAACCGGAGGAAGGUGGGGAUGACGUCAAAUCAUCAUGCCCCUUAUGACCUGGGCUACACACGUGCUACAAUGGUUGGUACAACGAGUUGCGAGUCGGUGACGGCGAGCUAAUCUCUUAAAGCCAAUCUCAGUUCGGAUUGUAGGCUGCAACUCGCCUACAUGAAGUCGGAAUCGCCAGUAAUCGCGGAUCAGCACGCCGCGGUGAAUACGUUCCCGGGCCUU
rnacentral:rRNA from 1 species